AGUCAAUUCCCAAGGGUUUUGCUCAUCCUUAGCUUCUCUCUUAGUUACAUAUAGAGUCGCAUAUAUAUAACUGAAUCAAUUGCAGAACUCAUGACUCAAACUGACGCAGGGGUUCUUGAGAGUUAAGAUUAGGGAAAGUAGAAAAGGAAGGGAUUUAGAAAUGAGAGAAAGGAGGGGAUGAUAGAGUCCAGUUUGAACAAAUCACAAAACCUGAAAAUUGUGUUUGGUUGUGUUGGUUCUCUCUAUUAUUUUUCACUCUAUUUCUUUCAUUUCCAUUUUCUGUCUUGUACAAAUGAAAAACUUGUUAAAUGUGAUAGUUUAAUUUUCUAAGUGGGGUUGAUUUAAAGAAUAUGUUACACAACAAAUUAUGUCAUGUUUGGUUUUGCAAUACAUGUAACACGAAAAGUCUUAAGUUUUUUUUAACAAUUAAAUGUAUGGUUUCCUUAAUUUAUAUGGUUCAGAGAGUGAGAUAUUUCAUCUACAUAUCACGCCAAAUUUGCCCUUUAAACUCGAGUUUCAAGCCUAUGUUGCUUUGCUAUUGUUGAACGUUAAAUUCUAGCGGUUCAUUAUAGUCGUUAGCUUUCUCCAUAUUUGUUUGUGGGCUAAAUAGCAACGAACUGCAUUGGCUUGCCAAAUACUAUGUUUAAAAGUUAAAACUGGUAGUGUUGUUUUUCUAUGCGCUACUCGAAUGGGAAUUUGUGGUUCCCUCAAAUAAAGUUCCGCUGAAUAACAAGUGAUCUUGUUUAAAUUUCUUCACAACCUCCACAACUUUGCAACAAUUAUUUCCUUUCAUGAAUUGCUUGUUCGAAUUAGUGAAAGUUAAAUGGAACGGUGUAUCUCAUGAUUUUGAAGUCUUGCACAUAUUAAGACGGUACCCAAGAAUAGUACGAGGAAGGACGUCGUCCAAAGUCUAAAAAAUGUUGUAUAAUUUCUAUUUCUUCAUGAAAUAUUCGAAGGGUUUAAUAGCUUUAUGAGAAUUUCCAAUAGCAUUAGUACAAACAGCAUAGCUUGCUUGUAUAUCGGCGAAGACUUGGACCUCAGUCUUGGUUGGGGGAAAAGAGCAACCUACAAUUAACGGUGACAAAAUAGAUGGAAAACCAACCUAUUAAUUUAUUUUGAUCUGUUAAAAAUUUAUUAAAAUAAAUCAAAUUAAACUAAAUUACCUAAUUUUGACUUUUAAAAUUAAAAUAAAUCAAAUUUCUCUGUCAGGAGAUAUUAAUUAUGCUAUUUUCUCCUAAAAAGUACCAAUAUACUGAUAUAGACUAUAUUUUUAACUAUUUUAAUGUAAGAGUUAGUUAAUAAUAUUAAUUGAAUUUUCUCUUUUAUAUAUUUAAAAAUUGAUGAAGGAACUCAAGGGACAAAACAAAGUCCUCCCCUUAUAAACCCAACAAAAGCGUUUGAAAGGCAGUAGCAGAGAAAAGAAUAGGGUUUUGCUAUGGAGAAGCUAGAAGCAGAGAACGUUCUGGUCCUUCCCUCUGAGCAACCCAACAACAAUAGGCCAAAGCCAAAACCAAAGCGUUUCGUGAAAAACCAAAUCCCAGACUCAAUCCUUAACAACCCUCUUCUGAGCGCCGCAAUCUCUGUGCUCCCUUCCAACUACAACUUCGAGGUCCACAAGUGCGUCUGGCGCGUGCUCUCCACGGGAGCAAAACGCGUGGCUCUCCAGUUCCCGGAGGGUCUCCUCAUGUACUCUCUCCCACUCUCCGACAUCUUCACCACCUUCGCCGGCGUCACCCACUGCUUCGUCCUCGCCGACGUCACCUACGGCGCUUGCUGCGUCGACGACCUUGCUGCCUCCGCCCUCGGCGCCGACCUCCUCAUCCACUACGGCCACAGCUGCCUCGUCCCCAUCGACGCCACCACAAUCCCCUGCCUCUACGUCUUCGUCGACAUCAAAAUCGACGUCCCUCACUUCGUCGACACCCUCAGCUUAAACCUCCUCGCCCAAACCAAAACCCUCGUCGUCGCUGGAACCAUUCAAUUCGCCUCCGCAAUUCGCGCCGCCAAGCCCCAAUUGGAGGAGUUAGGAUUUAGGGUUUUGAUUCCUCAGUCCAAGCCGCUCUCCGCAGGUGAGGUUCUGGGCUGCACCGCGCCCAAGGUAUCAUCGUCGAAAUUGCUCGGUGGUGGUGGUGACAUUGGUGAAUGUGUUUUGGUUUUCGUGGCGGAUGGAAGGUUUCACUUGGAGGCGUUCAUGAUUGCGAAUCCGGGGAUUAGGGCAUUCAGGUAUGACCCUUACAUGGGGAAGUUGUUUUUGGAGGAAUAUGAUCAUUUGGGUAUGAAGAGGUCUAGGAAAAAUGCGAUUUUUAAAGCCAGGGAGGCUCGGAGUUGGGGUCUGGUUUUGGGGACGCUGGGGAGGCAAGGGAAUCCGAGGAUUUUGGAGAGGUUGGAGAGGAUGAUGAGGGAGAGAGGCUUGGAUUAUACUGUGGUUUUGAUGUCGGAGAUGAGUCCUACAAGGAUUGCGCUCUUUGAGGAUUCCCUGGAUGCUUGGAUACAGAUUGCGUGUCCGAGGUUGUCCAUCGACUGGGGGGAGGCUUUUGUGAAACCGGUGCUUACUCCUUUUGAGGCUGAGGUUGCGCUCGGAGUGAUACCCGGGUGGUGGGAGAAGAAUGAGGUUUGUGAAGAGGGUGAGGGUUGUUGCAACAAGAGUGGGUCUUGUUGUGAGGAUGCAAAGGGAGGGGAAGAUUUUGGUGGGGAUUAUCCGAUGGAUUACUAUGCUCAAGAUGGUGGGGAGUGGAAUUCAUCUUAUGUGAAAAAGUCUACUCGUCCUGCCAGAAGAGUUUCCGUGUCGUCUGUUGCUGAUACUGCCAUUUCCCAACAGCCUUAGAUUUGCUGCUUAGUUACAAGUCCAAGGUUUUAAAAGACAGUCUUGAACAUGACUUCAGCCACAACGUUAAGAUUUGUGUUGUGGCUGCAUUGGCUGUAUUUCUCUGUGAUUUCUCGCAGUAUCAAUGAUAGCAACUGGAAAUUUAAAACAUUUGUUAUAACAAUUUUUUUCUCUGAAAGGAUAGAGUCUAUAUAGUCUAUUGUUUUCUUUUGUUUUUAGCUUUGUCUUAUUUAGGAUAAAUUAUGUUGGAUGAGUGUUUGGGUGAGAAAACAUGUUGAAGUGUUCUUUUCUUUGGUCUGAUAUGGGAGCGAAGAAGAUAGAAUGUGAUAAGCUCAGUUUCUGUUUCAAUUUGGUUGACGUAGCCACCAAGCUUUUCUGGUGAUCAAUUGAUUUGGGCCUUCUUUGGUGACACGUCGGUAACCACUACCCUUGCAUGGAAUCCAUGUUAAUGUGUCCAUGGCUGCAGAUUCAAGGAAACACACAUUGGAGUCUUUGGAGAGAAGAAUAGCUUUUGCCAAAGUUGAAGUUCUCCAAAAAGGAAAGAAAAACAAAAAUACUAUAAAUGAAGAUGGGUUUUGUCAACAGAUUAUAUAGGAUCAUCUUUUCAACUAAAUAACUCAUUGUAGGUAGAUAUGGUGUUUCUCCAUAGUCUUUGGCCCAUUAUAUAUUGCCUUGUACACAACACAAGGAGUCAAGAGGGAGAGGAAGGAGAGCGUGGAUGUGGGAGGGACCAAGAGGGUUGAGAGAGACAACAAACCAAUAAAUAAAGACGAAAGGUAAAAAAAAAAAAAA